UACAGAGGUCUCAAGCGUUGUUCGGAUUCAUUGGGCGUAAAGGGUGCGUAGGCGGCGCGGUAAGUCGGGUGUGAAAUCUCGGGGCUUAACUCCGAAACUGCAUUUGAUACUGCCGUGCUUGAGGACUGGAGAGGAGACUGGAAUUUACGGUGUAGCGGUGAAAUGCGUAGAUAUCGUAAGGAAGACCAGUGGCGAAGGCGGGUCUCUGGACAGUUCCUGACGCUGAGGCACGAAGGUCAGGGGAGCAAACGGG
rnacentral:rRNA from 1 species